AUACGGGGAAGGCAGUAGAUAUGGUGGUUUAAAUUAAAAUGAAUGUUGGCAAUACAGACGAAACGGCAUUAAAGGUUUGAAUGAAACAAUCCGUGUAGAUAUAAUUACAUCUCAACAGUUACUGUAAUCAACCGUAAAGCCAUAACAUGUGUGGGAGUGAAGUGCUUAUUAUUAUAUUUGGGACUAUCAUCAUUUUUCUCCUGAUCAUUGUGCUGGUCUGUUUAUUUUGGAUAUGCUGCAGAAGGGACAAUCAUCGCGAUGGGGUUAUUAUCCGACCAAUGGACCAAAUGCAGCUAGGUACAGUCGCUUACUAUAGCAAUGACCACCUACUGGCUAGCCGAAGUCCACAUUUACAGCAAGUGCGUAGUCAACAACAUCUACCGCCUAUUCAUGCUUGCAACAGUCAACAGUGUACGGCUACAGCAUAAACAUCUUACUGAGCAGUUUUCUGAUAAUACGCAGUAAAAAUUGCCAAACAGUAACAUCGAAUAUUUUAUGUGUAUCCUGUUUGGACAAGAAAAACUAGAAAUUAAGGUUGUUAGGCAUGUUUGGUUGAAAAUUUGUUCUACAAUGUAGAAUUUGAUUAAUUCUUGAUUUUUCAAAACUUUAGAAUAUACUAAGAAAAUUAGGCAAAUCGUGUGCUUGAUUUUAUUUUUGACAAACUGAUUUGAAAAUUUUGAACUUCACAAGUAUUUCAUAGUAGAAGUUUUGAUCUACGGAAAAAUCACAAUUUUGAUGAAAUUUUCACGAACAGAAAUAUUUGUACAAUGAAGAUUUUAAUGAAAUUUCUCACAUUCGAAAAUAAAUUUAUGGUCUAUGAUAUUGUGAAAUAAAAUGUAU